GAUGAACGCUGGCGGCGUGCCUAAUACAUGCAAGUCGAGCGAACGGACGAGAAGCUUGCUUUUCUGAUGUUAGAGGCGGACGGGUGAGUAACACGUGGAUAACCUACCUAUAAGACUGGGAUAACUUCGGGAAACCGGAGCUAAUACCGGAUAAUAUUUUGAACCGCAUGGUUCAAAAGUGAAAGACGGUCUUGCUAUCACUUAUAGAUGGAUCCGCGCUGCAUUAGCUAGUUGGUAAGGUAACGGCUUACCAAGGCAACGAUGCAUAGCCGACCUGAGAGGGUGAUCGGCCACACUGGAACUGAGACACGGUCCAGACUCCUACGGGAGGCAGCAGUAGGGAAUCUUCCGCAAUGGGCGAAAGCCUGACGGAGCAACGCCGCGUGAGUGAUGAAGGUCUUCGGAUCGUAAAACUCUGUUAUUAGGGAAGAACAUAUGUGUAAGUAACUGUGCACAUCUUGACGGUACCUAAUCAGAAAGCCACGGCUAACUACGUG
rnacentral:rRNA from 1 species